rnacentral:rRNA from 1 species
UCCUGGCUCAGGAUGAACGGCUGGCGGCGUGCCUAACACAUGCAAGUCGAACGAAGCACUGCGGAUGGAGAUUCGUCAAAAUCUGCUUGACUUAGUGGCGGACGGGUGAGUAAUGUGUGAGCAACCUGCCUUUCAGAGGGGGACAACAGUUGGAAACGACUGCUAAUACCGCAUAAUGUAUUUAAAGGGCAUCCUUUUGAUACCAAAGGAGCAAUCCGCUGAAAGAUGGGCUCACAUCUGAUUAGCUAGUUGUGGGGUAACGGCCUACCAAGGCUGCGAUCAGUAGCCGGACUGAGAGGUUGAACGGCCACAUUGGGACUGAGAUACGGCCCAGACUCCUACGGGAGGCAGCAGUGGGGAAUAUUGGGCAAUGGGCGAAAGCCUCGACCCAGCAACGCCGCGUGAAGGAAGAAGGUCUUCGGAUUGUAAACUUCUUUUAUGAGGGACGAAGGACGUGACGGUACCUCAUGAAUAAGCCACGGCUAACUACGUGCCAGCCGCGGC